AUGAAAAAUGAAAAAAAUUGGAAAACGAUCCCUUUCUUUCUCUCUUCUCUUUUUUUGUCUCUUUUCUAUUCCCCUCUCUUCUCUC
rnacentral:ribozyme from 13 species